AUCCAGCUGACGAGUCCCAGAUAGGAUGAAAUGAGUGUCCUGGAU
rnacentral:hammerhead_ribozyme from 1 species